AGUCGAGCAAUCGCGUAUAAGUUUUCUUAUAUGAGGAAAGUCCGGACACCUCAGGGCAGAACGACGGAUAACGUCCGCCGGGGGCAACCUUAGGACAAGUGCCACAGAAAAGUAAACAACCAAUCGGUUCAGGUGCAACGGUAGUGUAAAAGACUACAGGAGAUAUUGUAAAAUAUCUGCCGGGUAAACUCCGUUCGGGUGCAAGAUUGACAGAAAGGUUAAGGUGACCCGCCGUCUUUCAAAAAUCGCUAGAGCUUCAAGGUAACUUGAUUCCCAGACAGAUGAUUGCUUAGAAACAGAAUCCGGCUUAUGAGCUGCUC
rnacentral:RNase_P_RNA from 1 species